UAAUACGGAGGGUGCAAGCGUUAUCCGGAUUCACUGGGUUUAAAGGGUGUGUAGGCGGAUAUUUAAGUCAGAGGUGAAAUCUCCAGGCUCAACCUGGAAACUGCCUUUGAUACUAUUUAUCUUGAAUUUUGUUGAGGUAGGCGGAAUAUAUCAUGUAGCGGUGAAAUGCAUAGAUAUGAUAUAGAACACCGAUUGCGAAGGCAGCUUACUAAGCAAACAUUGACGCUGAGGCACGAAAGCGUGGGGAUCAAACAGGAUUAGAUACCCUGGUAGUCCACGCCCUAAACGAUGAUUACUCGACAUACGCGAUACACAGUGUGUGUCUGAGCGAAAGCAUUAAGUAAUCCACCUGGGAAGUACGUCCGCAAGGAUGAAACUCAAAUGAAUUGACGG
rnacentral:rRNA from 1 species